rnacentral:rRNA from 6 species
AAAUUGAAGAGUUUGAUCAUGGCUCAGAUUGAACGCUGGCGGCAGGCCUAACACAUGCAAGUCGAGCGGCAGCGGAAAGUAGCUUGCUACUUUGCCGGCGAGCGGCGGACGGGUGAGUAAUGUCUGGGAAACUGCCUGAUGGAGGGGGAUAACUACUGGAAACGGUAGCUAAUACCGCAUAACGUCGCAAGACCAAAGAGGGGGACCUUCGGGCCUCUUGCCAUCAGAUGUGCCCAGAUGGGAUUAGCUAGUAGGUGGGGUAACGGCUCACCUAGGCGACGAUCCCUAGCUGGUCUGAGAGGAUGACCAGCCACACUGGAACUGAGACACGGUCCAGACUCCUACGGGAGGCAGCAGUGGGGAAUAUUGCACAAUGGGCGCAAGCCUGAUGCAGCCAUGCCGCGUGUAUGAAGAAGGCCUUCGGGUUGUAAAGUACUUUCAGCGGGGAGGAAGG